UACGGGGGGGGCAAGCGUUGUUCGGAAUUACUGGGCGUAAAGCGCGUGUAGGCGGCCCUGCAAGUCGGAUGUGAAAUCCCACGGCUCAACCGUGGAAGUGCAUUCGAAACUGCAGGGCUAGAGUCCUGGAGAGGAAGGUGGAAUGCUUGGUGUAGAGGUGAAAUUCGUAGAUAUCAAGCGGAACACCGGUGGCGAAGGCGGCCUUCUGGACAGUGACUGACGCUGAGACGCGAAAGCGUGGGGAGCAAACAGG
rnacentral:rRNA from 1 species